rnacentral:miRNA from 1 species
CAUACCAUUUGCAAAAGUAGACAACCCAAGGUAUUGCAAGUGCGGUAUGCCCAGUCUUUCUUAGUAGCCACUUAGUCAGAAACACUGGCCAAAUAUUAUUUUUUUUGCUUUUUUCACACAAAAACAAAUAUGAACGCUAACUUUGGCCAGUAUUUGUGACUAAGUGGCUACUAAAAAAGACUAAACAUACCCCACGUUCAAUACCUUGGGUUGUCUACUUUUUCAAAUGGUAUG